UGUUACUGUGCUACUAGUGCUUCUAGCUUCAACAACUGUUUAAGAAGUGUAAUCUCAUGCUUAUUCAAUAGCAAAUAGGAGCUUUUGGUAUCGGGUUUCAGGCAGCCACCCUGACUGUGUUACAUUAUGCCUCUAUGAUGGUUUUCCUUUAUAAAAAGCAGCUGAAAAGUUGCCAAAUUCACGCUUAAGAUUGAAGAUUUGCAGUGAGUCAGAGGAAGUCCACAAUGAGUUCUCAGGACGUACUGAAGAAGGCGUCCACUCUGGCGUCCUAUAAUGUGUUGCUACAGGUGAUGUUCCGUGUCCUCACCUUCCUGCUGAACGCAUUCACACUGCGGUUUGUGUCCAAAGAGCUGAUCGGUGUUGUCAACGUCAGACUUACACUUCUGUACUCCACAUUAGUAUUUUUAUCCAGAGAAGCUUUCCGUAGAGCCUGUCUGAGCGGAGUAUCUGGAACGAACCACAGCUGGAGACAAGUUAUCAACCUGCUAUGGCUGACCUUGCCUCUGGGUGUGUUGUGGGCAGCCCUGCUGGCCUCUGUGUGGCUGUGGCUCCUGGAGGUCCCAGACCCGCAGACUGUCCCUUACUACGGCCCUGCUGUGGUUUUGUUUGCUCUGUCAGGAGUCCAGGAGCUCCUGGCUGAGCCCCUCUGGGUCCUGGCUCAGGCUCACAUGUUUGUCCGACUAAAGGUGGUCGCAGAGAGCUUAGCGAUGAUCGCAAAGUGCAGUAUAACCGUGGUGCUGGUGGUGUUUGCCCGUGGAUGGGGCCUUUACAUCUUCUCUGCUGCUCAUUUGGUGUACACAGGAUUCCUGGUGCUGUGCUAUGCUGUUUACUUCAUUCAUUUCUUGGGCUCUAAAGAGGCAGACAAGAAGGGUUUUCCUCUGCAUCGUGUUGGAGAUCUCCUGCCCUGUAGAGCUGAUGGAGAGCCUCUGGUUGAUUGGACUCUGGCCCGGCUCACAUGGAGCUUCUUCAAGCAGUCCUUCCUGAAGCAGCUGCUGACGGAAGGCGAGCGCUACGUCAUGACCUUCCUGAACGUCCUCAGCUUUGGAGACCAGGGAGUUUAUGAUAUCGUCAAUAAUCUGGGCUCCAUGGUGGCUCGCUUCAUCUUCUUACCCAUCGAGGAGAGCUUCUACAUCUUCUUUGCCAAAGUGCUGGUGCGAGGACGUGAUGUUGAAAGUCAGAAACAGGAAGACGUUGCCAUUGCAGCAGAGGUGCUGGAGUGUCUGCUGAAACUGGUGCUUGUGGUUGGGCUCAUUAUCUCAGUGUUUGGCUACGCCUUCUCUCACUUGGCUCUGGACAUUUAUGGCGGCUCUCUACUGAGCAGUGGAGCAGGGCCCACUUUGCUGCGAUGCUACAGCUGCUAUGUUCUCCUGCUUGCUGUAAAUGGUGUAACAGAGUGCUUUGUAUUUGCUGCCAUGAGCCAAAAAGAAGUUGACAAGUAUAACUUGGUGAUGCUGGCUCUGUCUGUGUCCUUCCUGUUCCUGUCCUACAUGCUGACAUGGUGGGCUGGUGGUGUGGGAUUCAUACUAGCAAACUGCCUCAACAUGGGCCUCCGCAUCCUGCACAGCCUGCUGUACAUACACCGAUACUUCCAGUCCAGUCAGUGGAAACCUCUGCGAGGCCUGCUGCCCUCUCCGCUCCUACUGCUGGCACUGGCUGUCAGUGCUGUCAUCACAGCGCUUUCUGAGGGAGUGUUCUGCUGUGACAGCGGCUGGUUCCUCAGGCUGGUACAUAUCGGCGUAGGAGCAGUGUGUCUGCUCGGUGUGUUUGCGGCGGUUCUUCUCACAGAGACUGGGCUCAUUCAGUUCGUGAGGACUCAGCUCUUACCCCAGUACAGAAAGAAACACACUUGAAUCAGACUGGAUCAUUGGUGAACUGGAAGAAAUCUUCUGUUUCACUACAAACAGUUCUAACAAAGCAGCUGAUUGACAGUUACUGACUGUGUGGAAUCGACGAAGGAAGAACUUUAAAGAAUGUGUGAUCAUUCCUGAGUUGCUCAUACACGUAUGAACAGACACAUCAUUAAUGUUUUGGGAUCUAAUUGUGGCAGAUAAAGAAAUGAAUGUAUUUUAUGAAAACAGUUGAAUUUGUUACAGGAAAAUAUUUUCCUACACAGUAAAGCAAGACAAGCUCAUCCAUAUGUGUGGUGUCUAAAGGUAAUUUAAUGAAAAAAUAAGAUUUUUUUUACACUUUAAGCAGUUUAAAUAAUCUGUCAUGUGUUUCUAAAGGUUUCUUAACGCCCUGUUGUCUUUUCAACAUUUUGGAGCAUUCAAGUUGUUUUUAAUAUUUUAAGGUCCAUUACACACACGGUAUUGACAAAGUAAAGAGGCAGAGAGGAAUUCUGUUUUGUCCACUACAAACAAAGCAUGAAGACACCUCCCUGUGUGGAAUGCCUUUUAAGUCAAUAUGAAAUAAAUUAAUAAAUACAUUUAAAUAACAAUGCCUAUGAAAAAAAGAAUUGGCGAUAAAAUUAAAUAAAUAUUGAAGAUGUCCUUUUAAAAAUAUUUUAUUUAAAAUGUUAAUUUAUUUUUAUUCCUUUUACUAUAUUGACUCAUUCAUGUUUAUUCAUAUAUUAAUAUAUUGCUGAAUUUAAUUCAGAAUGUAUUUCAAUAUACCUCUACUUAAAAAUGUUCAGUAGUGGGUGACUCAUUGCUACAAAUAUCUAUAGAGAGAAAGACACUUUCUAGAGCAGUGGUUUGCACCAGCUUUUUGUCAUAUUUCAUAUUUCACUGGGAGCUGAGUAGCUUUCAGUUCAGCUCUUAUUUGACCUGUUGCUUGGAAACUUUCUUGCUAUUUGUUUAUCCUUCGUCUGAACUGGAUUUAGGGUCCCUGAAGGUCCAAUAAUGAUGUAAUUAAAGAAAAUGAGCAGGAAGAGGUGGGGACAGCAUUCUUUUAAAGCAAGGCAAUGCUUUUUUCUUCUCCACUUUGCUCCUUUUUUUUUUUACAUAUAUUUGUACACAAGUCAAACACGGUAUAAAGUUUGCUGGUGUCUGAAGACAAUCAGCUACUUCUCUUCUGAGUCAUACCUUUUGAACUUUGAGUCCAAUUUGCUUUGCUCGCUAAUUAUCACCAGCGGCAGGAUAAACAGACAUGCAUUUGUCAUGUUCUUGCAUCUUUGGGAUUUAUUUGGGGAAAUGUAAUGCCACAAGUUGCAGCAGUGAUCUCAUCAUUUCCUAAUGAA